CGUGAACGCUGGCGGUAGGCCUAACACAUGCAAGUCGAACGGCAGCACAGUAAGAGCUUGCUCUUACGGGUGGCGAGUGGCGGACGGGUGAGGAAUACAUCGGAAUCUACUUUUUCGUGGGGGAUAACGUAGGGAAACUUACGCUAAUACCGCAUACGACCUACGGGUGAAAGCAGGGGAUCUUCGGACCUUGCGCGAUUGAAUGAGCCGAUGUCGGAUUAGCUAGUUGGCGGGGUAAAGGCCCACCAAGGCGACGAUCCGUAGCUGGUCUGAGAGGAUGAUCAGCCACACUGGAACUGAGACACGGUCCAGACUCCUACGGGAGGCAGCAGUGGGGAAUAUUGGACAAUGGGCGCAAGCCUGAUCCAGCCAUACCGCGUGGGUGAAGAAGGCCUUCGGGUUGUAAAGCCCUUUUGUUGGGAAAGAAAAGCAGCAGGUUAAGACCCCGCUGUUCUGACGGUACCCAAAGAAUAAGCACCGGCUAACUUCGU
rnacentral:rRNA from 1 species